CCUACGGGAGGCAGCAGUGGGGAAUAUUGCACAAUGGGGGAAACCCUGAUGCAGCGAUGCCGCGUGAGUGAAGAAGUACUUCGUUAUGUAAAGCUCUAUCAGCAGGGAAGAAAAUGACGGUACCUGACUAAUAACCCCCGGCUAACUCCGUCCCAGCAGCCGCGGUCAUACGUAGGGGGCAAGCGUUAUCCGGAUUUACUGGGUGUAACGGGGGCGCAGAUGGCAGCGCAAGCCAGGGGUGAAAGCCCGGGGCCCAACCCCGGGACUGCUCUUGGAACUGGGCGGCUGGAGUGCAGGAGGGGCAGGCAGAAUUCCUGGUGUAGCGGUGAAAUGCGUAGAGAUCAGGAGGAACACCGGUGGCGAAGGCGGCCUGCUGGACGGCGACUGACGUUGAGGCCCGAAAGCGUGGGGAGCAAACAGGAUUAGAUACCCUUGUAGUC
rnacentral:rRNA from 1 species